CCUACGGGUGGCAGCAGUGGGGAAUAUUGCGCAAUGGACGAAAGUCUGACGCAGCGCCGCCGCGUGAGGGAUGAAGGUUUUCUGAUCGUAAACCUCUGUCAGGAGGGAAGAAAGCGCAUGGCGCCAAUCAGCCAUGCGUUGACUGUACCUCCAAAGGCAGCGCCGGCUAACUCCGUGCCAGCAGCCGCGGUAAUACGGAGGGCGCGAGCGUUAAUCGGAAUUGCUGGGCGUAAAGCGCGCGUAGGCUGUGGUGUAAGUGGGGGGUGAAAUCCCCCGGCUCAACCGGGGAACAGCCCUUGAUACUGGGGGACGGGAGUGCGGGAGAGGGUGGCGGAAUUCCAGGUGUAGGAGGGAAAUGCGUAGAUAUCGGGAGGAACAGCAGUGGCGAAGGCGGCCACCUGGACCGGUAUUGACGCUGAGGCGCGAAAGCGUGGGGAGCAAACAGGAUUAGAUACCCGGGUAGUC
rnacentral:rRNA from 1 species